rnacentral:misc_RNA from 1 species
GAAAUGCGAUAAGUAAUGUGAAUUGCAGAAUUCAGUGAAUCAUCGAAUCUUUGAACGCACAUUGCGCCCGCCAGUAUUCUGGCGGGCAUGCCUGUCCGAGCGUCAUUUCAACCAUCAAGCCCCCGGGCUUGCGUUGGGGACCUGCGGCUGCCCGCAGGCCCUGAAAACCAGUGGCGGGCUCGCUGUCACUCCGAGCGUAGUAGUAUCACCUCGCUCAGGGCGUGCUGCGGGUUCCGGCCGUUAAGCCAACCCAAUUACCCCAAAGGUUGACCUCGGAUCAGGUAGGAAUACCCGCUGAACUUAA